rnacentral:rRNA from 1 species
UAUACAAUCGUGUUGAUGACUUCCUAAACGUCCACUCGUUGACAAUAUACUCAAACCUACUGCCUUAUAGUCAUAAUGUAGUUUUAGAUGCCGAAAUAUAUGAAACAGUGUAUGACGGUAUAAAGUAUAUACUGCUGGUAUAGUUAGUGCACAACAAAGAAAAAGUAAGUCUCACAUGUAACGAAGGUCACAUUGUUCUUGUCUUUUAUUCUAUCAAUUUCGUAGCACCCCUGGUCCUCCGGUUCGUCAGACACCACAGA